rnacentral:tRNA from 1 species
GGGUAUACCUCAGUGGUAGAGUGUGUGCUUAGCAUGCAUGAGGUCCUGGCUUAAAUCCCCAGUACCUCCA